rnacentral:rRNA from 1 species
AUGCAGUCGAGCGCGACGGUCCUUCGGGACUUAUUAGAGCGGCGGACGGGUGAGUAAUGCAUAGGAAUCUGCCCAGUAGUGGGGGAUAGCCCGGGGAAACCCGGAUUAAUACCGCAUACGUCCUACGGGAGAAAGCAGGGGAUCUUCGGACCUUGCGCUAUUGGAUGAGCCUAUGUCGGAUUAGCUUGUUGGUGGGGUAACGGCCCACCAAGGCAACGAUCCGUAGCUGGUCUGAGAGGAUGAUCAGCCACACUGGGACUGAGACACGGCCCAGACUCCUACGGGAGGCAGCAGUGGGGAAUAUUGCACAAUGGGGGAAACCCUGAUGCAGCCAUGCCGCGUGUGUGAAGAAGGCCUUCGGGUUGUAAAGCACUUUCAGUAGGGAGGAAG